rnacentral:lncRNA from 1 species
ACAGAUGAGAAAACUGAAACAUUGAGAAGUCAAGUAACUUGCUCAAGAUUAUAUAGCUAGUGCAUAGAGGGGCAAAGAUUUGAACCAGAUUGCCUGGUUCCACAUGCACUUUAACCUGCUUUAUUUAGGCUUUUGAAAGCAACCUAAAUAGCUAACAUUGACUAAAUAAGUGCAGUAUACCUGGUCUGUGUGACAUUUUGCAGGUAUUAAAAAGUGAACAUUCUGAACCCUUUUAGCAAUAUGGCAAAUACUUCUGAUGUGAUGUAUGCAUAUAAAUAUGAUCGAAAGCAAAUAUCCCAAAAGGUUGAUGGCAGUUAUGUCAGGUUAGUAGCACAAUAGUUUCUUUUCUCAUUUUCUCACAUUUUUAGUAAUGUGUGUUGCCUAUAUUAAAAAACAAAUAUUAAAAAGUAGUAGCAUGUAUUAGAUCAGAGCAUGGGCUCAGACUGCCUGUGUCAUCUCUUAUUAGAUGUAUGACCAGGGACAAGUUAUUGACCUUUUGUUUCUAAGUCUCUAAGUUUAUCCUGUAAAAUGAAGAUAAUUGUAGUAACUACCUAAUAACAUGAUUGUAAGGAUUAAAUUAUUUAGAACACUAUUUGUUACUUGGAAAAUAUGCAAUCAUAAGCUAUUUUGUUGUUAUUGUUAUUUUACUACCAAAGCUUAUUGUUUCAGAGCCCCUAGGUGACCAGGCAAAAUGGCAGUUCCUUCCAGCUGGUCCUCAGAUGGGCACAUCUAUUAGCCUCUGCUCUUGUAAGAAGUUAGCUGCAGAACCCACAUGUGAAUCCUUGUAGGACUCUGGAGAAGAUCAAAUGGGAGCUUAGAUGUGGAAGCUCUUUGGAAACCAAGAAACACUCUGAAAAUGAAAAGGCAUAAGAAUGUUUAUCACAGCAUGGCAUAUAUUGGAAGUUUAGUAAAUGAAGAUACAUCCAAUCUGACAUUCUAUUCACAACCACAAAGAGAUAAUGUAGAAACAUAUUUAGUAAUGUGAGAAAAUACUAAAUAUUAAGUGAAAAAGGUGGAAGAGUAAACUGUUCCUGUUUCUCCAUCUUGACAGGAAGCAGAAGUUCUCCUUAGCUGAUUUUUCUUCUUGCCUUAUACUGGGUUCUUUAACACCAGAACAAAAAUAAAUAAAUAAAAGAAUCUUCCAGAAAUUCAUGAAGAGACUUCAGGUCAGGAAAGCCUGAACUUUCUCAUCCAACACCCGUUCAAGUCGGAGGAUGCUGAUUAAUUCAUGAUGGAAAGGUAUCAAUUUCACAGCCCAGACCUCUACAUUCUUGAAAUGCUCUUCUCAUGGGAGACAUUAAAUAAGCUUUGAAUUAACUGAAGAACCAAUGAUGUGAUCCCUGGAUACUGGCAAUUGUUGCCCAAGAAAACCUCUCCCCUUGCUGUGGGACUGCUGGGCACCCAAAUAAUGCACCCAAAUAAUUUGAUAGCUCUUGUUACACAGCUCUUCUUGGACUAAAAGGCCCUCAGCAUUCCUGUCAAUUUCUACACUCCUGAAGCUUCAUCUGGAGACCUCUGUGGAUUCUAUAACUCAAAGACCCAGGCUGACGGCUGGUGGAAUAGCUACCAUCUCAAACAUGGCGUGAUGCUGCAUCAGAGAGAAAAAUAAGCUCUUGCAUUGACAAUGAAAUGUCUACCCUGUAGUGACUUGUGCUUACUUCCACUCACAAGUGAUUGCCCAGAGCUACUUACCUGGCUCCAAUCUACCACUGGUGUUGGAGGUGGGUCCUGGUGUGAGGUGAUUGGAUUAUGGGGGUGAAUUUCUCAGGAAUGGUUUAACAUCAUCCCCUACGGCCCUGUCCUUGCAUAGUGAGUGCCAUGACACCCAGGAUGCAGCUGUAGGAACACCACUGGGUCCCUGGAUGUCAUGUAAGCCCUUAAGUAAAAGUGCCAUCAAAUGAUUUCUCAGAAAUUAUAAAGAAACAAAAGGACCAUAAACAAGAUAAGGUGGCAUGAGGAAACAUUACAAGUACCUUUCAGAGCUGACUGGCAAAGAAACUCCUGAGGUGACGGUUCUACCCCAAUAUUACUUCUUCGAAGAGCAACCUAACUGACCUUGUAUUGAAGACAGCGUAACCCCCAAGAGGAAAGGAGCUUGGAGCCCUGAAUCAGAGUAGAAGACAGGCUGAAUGAAUACCAGCCUUGGACUGUUGUGUGAAUGAAAAACAAGUUUUGAGAUUUGUGUGGUUUAUUUAUUAUAGUUACUGUUAUUAUUAAAGUUUUUCACUGCUUUACUCUCAG